GAUGAACACUAAUUUGUGAAUUGUGGUGGCCAAGUUCAUACCCCAAGGAAAUAUCUUAAAUCACAUGGACACUUUUCCAUGAAGGAAGGAGCAGUGGAGCACAGAGAUUCUGCUGCCAUCUAUGGAUUGUAAAAGGUACAAUGUGACCAGAAGUCUCAGCCUGCUGCUGCCACACCAUCUCCUGCUAUGAAUGACUAUAUCACCUCAAACUGUAAAGCAAAAUGAACCUUUUCCACCUUUAAGAUCAGAUAAAUGUAUCUACCACUUCUCAUCAAAGAAGUUUCUCUUUAAAGCAAAUGGAGACCAUUGAAGAAAACCACAAUUGGACAUAAUGCAGAGAUCAACAUAUCACGGGAAGCCCAGCCUAAAGGGAUACACCUACAAUAUAGGUCAUGCAUCUGUGGUUCGGGUAACAUGGCAGAAGGGGCAGAAAGGUUGUGAGAGACAGACUACCAGGGAGUCUGCUGUGAAAAUCUCUCCUAGACAGGAGCUGUGUAGACAAGAGCAAAACAAUGGCAAAUAUCAAAUGUACAUGUUAAUAAGGAAUGGGGAAAAUCUACAAUGAACUACAUACAGGCAACUAAUUGAGAGAAGAAUUAGUUUUUCCUCAGGAUGAGCUCCCUUAUUGGCUGGCCACUACAGAGUGGGUAGCCUUGAAACCAUAUAUAUACAUAACACCAAAAAACAUACUCAGCAGAUUUUAUACACACACACACACAUGUAUGUAACAAUAAUAAUUAAAAAAAGGGGCUAUCAACUUGUGAGUUGUAGGAAUCAUGGUGAGUUCAAAGGAGGGUAACCAGGAGGGGCUGAAGUGAGAAAAAGA